CGGGGCCGCAUCUCAUCAUCGUUCUUUGAUGCACUUUGGAAACUGUGUAGGAAGGUUGUGCUUUAUUGUUCUUAUCACAAAUAUUUUUCAGUUUUAGUCUAGAAGGGCCAACUGCUGACUCCAUUUAGCUUUCACUGUGAGCAGAAGCCUUCCAAUCAAAGCUUUCUUGUCAUGUCUGACUGUGACCAAGGUUUGAUAAGAUGAACUUGGUUUCAUUAAGAAUAAAGCAGGAAGUAAAAUCUGUAGGGAGCUACUAGGGCCUUUCUAUUUUGAUCAAAGGGGAUCUCAGGUACAAUGAUUAUACCUUUCUAAACCUAGUAUAUGAAGUUGGAUAUUUUCAUACUUAUACUUUUUGUGUGCUGGGUAUUUAUUUUACAGCUCAUCCUAUUAAUGUAAGAAACACAAACAGAAACAUCAGGAAGUUGACUUAAAGAAGGAAGAACAGAAAUACAUGGCUCCAAGGCUAAGUCUGACAUUUGUUAGCUGCGGAACAGAGGUAGGGUGAUGAUGGCUACGAUUUUUUUUUUAAGAUUUUAUUUAUUUAUUUGACAGAGACAGCGAGAGAGGGAACACAAGCAGAGGGAGUGGGAGAGGAAGAAGCAGGCUCCCAGCAGAGAAGCCUGAUGCGGGGCUCGAUCCCAGAACGCAGGGAUCACGCCCUGAGCCGAAGGCAGACGCUUAACGACUGAGCCACCCAGAAGCCCCGUGAUGGCUAGGAUUCUUAACUCCUCUGUUAGUUUGCGAUAAUAAAGCAGAAUAAAUGUGAGGAUUAAAGAUGGUCCAUGUAAGGUGACUACCACAUAAAUAACAGUGGUCAUUAUCAGUUUUUUUUAAGGGAUAAUGGUUUGGCUUGUCAAGAAAGCAUGCCAAAGAAAGACAUGGAUUUCCUGAGUACAGAUGAGGAGAAUAUUGGAGAAAAAGGUCCUCAAACAGAUGACACAGUGAUAAGGAGAAAUGGACGGAAGUGGAAACUUUGCAUAUCAAGACUCAACCUGAAGAGCAUUCACGGAGGAAAUGAAGAGAGCCAACACGAAAGCCGGAUUUGGAGAGGAUCCAUGGUGUUUUAUAUUAUGACCAUUUUUUUAAGCAAAAAUCACAGCUGUAAUGAUUAAAUCACCCAGCGUCCCAUGCAGCUAGGUGAACAGUUACCCACCACUGUAGAUCCCUCUCAAUUAAUUACACGCAGAUUGCCAGUUCUGUCAAUAGCUCAAGAUAGCACUUUGAUCUCCUGUUGCU
rnacentral:lncRNA from 1 species